AUCCUUCUGGCCCUGAGAGCCCAGCUGUGCAGCCUUUCCUGGAAAGGUGUGUGCAGCUGCCGGAAGGGGAGGCUCCCCAGUGCCCUCUAUGCCCUGGCUGCCUAGAGAUCCUCACUCCUGGACACUAGGAACCAAGACCCUAGGACUGAGCACAUGCUCUGUGCUGGCCUCUGAGGCUGCACCUCCUUAGUGCUGAUGCACUGAAGGGAAGGACAGGGGGAAGGGAAGGGGUAGGCAGGGGUGGCCAUGGCUGCUCCAGGCCCCACCUGGACUCCUGAGGCCGGGAGGGAGAGCUCCCAGGGGCUCUCAGGGGCCUGCUGCUGCUGAACCUCGCCCUUCCUGCCUCUUGGCAAGGUGCCAG
rnacentral:lncRNA from 1 species